GACGAACGCUGGCGGCGUGCCUAAUACAUGCAAGUAGAACGCUGAAGGAGGAGCUUGCUUCUCUGGAUGAGUUGCGAACGGGUGAGUAACGCGUAGGUAACCUGCCUAGUAGCGGGGGAUAACUAUUGGAAACGAUAGCUAAUACCGCAUAAUAGUAGAUGUUGCAUGACAUUUGCUUAAAAGGUGCAAUUGCAUCACUACCAGAUGGACCUGCGUUGUAUUAGCUAGUUGGUGUGGUAACGGCUCACCAAGGCGACGAUACAUAGCCGACCUGAGAGGGUGAUCGGCCACACUGGGACUGAGACACGGCCCAGACUCCUACGGGAGGCAGCAGUAGGGAAUCUUCGGCAAUGGGCGGAAGUCUGACCGAGCAACGCCGCGUGAGUGAAGAAGGUUUUCGGAUCGUAAAGCUCUGUUGUAAGAGAAGAACGAGUGUGAGAGUGGAAAGUUCACACUGUGACGGUAUCUUACCAGAAAGGGACGGCUAACUACGUG
rnacentral:rRNA from 1 species